CUGUGCCCCCCACCCCCAGGUACCAGCCGUCCUUCCACGGCGUGGACCUGUCUGCGCUGCGCGGGGCCGCCGUGGACGAGUACUUCAGGCAGCCCGUGGUGGACACCUUUGACAUCCGGAUCCUCAUGGCCAAAUCCGUCAAGUACACCGUGAACUUCUUGGAAGCCAAGGAGGGCGACUUGCACAGGAUAGAAAUCCCCUUCAAGUUCCACAUGCUGCACUCGGGGCUCGUGCACGGCCUGGCCUUCUGGUUCGACGUGGCCUUCAUCGGCUCCAUGUAG